UCCUGGGUAGCUCAGCUGGUAAAGAAGCUGCUUGCAAUGCAGGUGACCCUGGUUCGAUUCCUGGGUCGGGAA
rnacentral:tRNA from 1 species